UGGGGGAUAUUGCACAAUGGGCGAAAGCCUGAUGCAGCGACGCCGCGUGGGGGAUGAAGGCUUUCGGGUUGUAAACCUCUUUCGCUAUCGAACAAGGCCCGCUUAGGGUGGGUUGAGGGUAGGUGGAGAAGAAGCGCCGGCUAACUACGUGCCAGCAGCCGCGGUAAUACGUAGGGCGCGAGCGUUGUCCGGAAUUAUUGGGCGUAAAGGGCUUGUAGGCGGCUUGUUGCGCCUGCUGUGAAAACGCGGGGCUUAACUUCGCGCGUGCAGUGGGUACGGGCAGGCUUGAGUGUGGUAGGGGUGACUGGAAUUCCAGGUGAAGCGGUGGAAUGCGCAGAUAUCUGGAGAAACACCGAUGGCGAAGGCAGGUCACUGGGCCAUUACUGACGCUGAGGAGCGAAAGCAUGGGUAGCGAACAGG
rnacentral:rRNA from 1 species